rnacentral:rRNA from 1 species
AGAUUGAACGCUAGCGGCAUGCCUAACACAUGCAAGUCGAACGGUAACAGGCCCUUCGGGGUGCUGACGAGUGGCGGACGGGUGAGUAAGGCAUCGGAAUCUGCCCUGAUGUGGGGGAUAACGUAGGGAAACUUACGCUAAUACCGCAUAUGCCCUACGGGGUAAAGCGGGGGAUCGUAAGACCUCGCGCUGGUGGAUGAGCCUACGUCCGAUUAGUUAGUUGGUGGGGUUAAAGGCCUACCAAGGCUACGAUCGGUAGCUGGUCUGAGAGGACGACCAGCCACACUGGGACUGAGACACGGCCCAGACUCCUACGGGAGGCAGC